UGCAAAUAUUUUUAUUUUGGUGAGUGU
rnacentral:piRNA from 1 species